GGUUGCUGGCUUGGUGCAGAUCCUGCAGUGCUGCACAUCUCUACAAAUCGAUGAUUAAACCCUCCAUUGAGUCAGCAGGAAUCAGUGAAGCCACGAAGGGCCCGGAUCUUGGAAGUGCCAGCGUCUACCAUCAUUGGCAGCGGAAGAAAGGGUUACUGAGGCCAAGGAAGGUGGUGGAAAUUGAAAAUCCACGUCAGAGGAAGAAAAUAAGAAGCAUAGAAGGAAAAGGAAGUGUCUACGGAGGCAGAAGAGGAUGAUGAUUUUUUAUUUUUUAUUUUUUCAUCCUUUUAAGACCGUUUGGUAUGGAUAUUUAUGUUUUGGAUAUGAUAACUUGUUGAACUUGGAUAAUGUUAUAUUGGAAUGUUGUGUUGUUUAGAAUAUGAUGACUAGUAUGCAUAUAUGUUGUGUUAUGCUUGUUUUGA